CUCGCUUUCUGGCACCCGAGACAGGGACGUCUUUGGGGAGCCAUUAGUCCGUCUACCACACACAGUCUCUCCCCAAGCAGCUAUUUCUUGGCAACAACUUUACGCCGUGGGAGAUUUACUGCCAUAGUUGUUAAAGCGCCACUAUCAUCACCACCUCCACAAUCUCCAAACAGUCGGCCAGGUGUUCCUAGUUUGCAGUGAUUUAAUCCUCAUGAAUUUUUAUUUAAUUUUAUAAAUUGUACUUGCUCAAUUAAAAAAAAAAAAAACCUCCUCAUUGGAGAAGAACUCCACAACCCUGUCCCUGCAGCCCCUCCACAACGCUGACUUAGAGAAAGCAGAAUGCUACUUGGGGGGAGCCCACACCUCAAGACUUCAGCUCCUCGCACCGGAAAGAGGAGCCGCUGCUUCCUCGGAGCCUGCCUGCCCUUGACGGCGGACGAGACCCUGCUCACCCCUGCGCAGCCUCUGGACGGCGGGCAGCGGCUCACCCGCUCCGGAGCGGUCCGCUCAUGGCUCACUUAACCCACGUUCCAGGGCCGCCAGGGCUGCUGAAUCUGCGCUAAAAGUGUCAGCGUGGAGACUUGCAGUGCACCAGACAGGUACUAGGCUUUAUAUUCCCUUGCCGUGAGCAUUCUCCCAAGAGGAAGUAGCACCCUAAUGAAGACGAAGCUCCUUUACGUGCAGGGCAAAGGGAGAGCACCCUGCUGGCGAUGCCAGGAAGAGAAACCGAGGUUCCCUCCCAAAACCAGAAGGUGGCUGACCGUUGGCAACUGCUGAGCUUAACAAAGACCAGAGACAGACAUGGAACCCGAGGGAAGAAGCUUGCACAUUCUUCACUGUUGCUAAUUCUCACUUCACAUGAGAGUGCAACAAAAUGCAAGAAAGUUGACUGGACUCUGGGCAAAUUCAGGAGACCUUGGUGUGAAAGGCCAGCAAGCAGCUCCAUAGUGGACACUCUUCAGAUCCACCCACCAUGUCUCUGUCAGCCUCAGCCCAAGAGGAAACAGAGCGGAAAGAGAAAGGGCUUAGUGGAAACUGCCUUUGAAAAGCUCACCAUUGUGUCUCCCUAGAAAAGUACAUUAAACAAAACACAUUUUCACGUCAAGAGUAACUGCUUAGGACAAGGGACAUCUUUGCCAAGUGCCACUUACUCCACCUCCAGUGAGAAUUUUCUGGGCACGCCAGCACUGGUGUUACUUGCUGUAGGCAGAUUCUUUACCUGUACUUAUAAAAACCCACACUGGCUACUCCUAGUGGAGCUCUUGUAUGUUUCUUUCAUCUGGAUUUCUAACACUAGGAACUCUGUGAUCGACAAGUAUCAACAGGUUAACAGGAUUGUCUCAACAGAUACUGGCACAUCUUCGGUGCAGACUUGCCCUAGCCAAGGUGUUCUGUGCAGAGGACCCAUGCGUGAGCGGCUCACCAAGAGAUGCCAGAACUGUGACUACACCACAGGAGGCGAGUUUGCAUUUUGACUGGAAAAAACCGCUACUCUUACCCAUGUGUGAUGCUAUGUUCUGAAUACGACCAUGUAAGAUAUAAAAUUACUUGGAGUUUACUUGAACCCUGUGUGAGAUGAAAUGAGAUAGAGAUUAAUAAAAUGGU